CUCCAUAAUCAACCUUCUGGAGAUAUUUGUGGAAUGAACGAAGGGACCCUGAGAAAAUGAGGCAUUGGAAUGAUGAGGUGGAGGAAGGGGACAAGUCCCAUGUCGAUUGAAGUAUCACUUAGAAAGAGCAGCUUACAAACAGCCUGAGUGUCAGGCUUUGGGCAUUUGGGGAAGACUGUGUCGAGAGUUCUACAACUUGGAAAUAACAGACCUUUGCAUUUGCUGACCCCUGCGCCAGGAGCAGCCUCUCCUGCCAGCCAUCCUCUCCGUAGCCCGUACUUAUCUUCUUGGAACCACCUUUGAUAUCUUCUCUCUCCUGCCCCCCUCAUAAUUCUCAUCACCUGAUCUUAGUGUUGCCUAUGCCGUCAGCAGACUGGGAGGCCUAGGGGUGUAGGGACCCUGGCUGCCUCCCUCAUGGAUGUGUCUCCUGCCAAGCACAGCGCCAGCACCUACACUGAAAGCACAUGUCAAAGCGCACCAGGCUGACUCAGUGAGGAGAGCAUGUAACUCUUGAUCUUGGGGUGGUGAGCUGAAGUCCUACGUUGGGUGUGGAGCCUACUUAAAAAAAAGAAAAAGUACCUGUCUAAUGGAAGUCCAGCACCCCCACUGUGCCUCCUUUAGUCCCCGAAUUCCUCACCCUUCCAGAAAUCUAGGAGUAACAGUACUGAGAUUUUCUCCUGUCCUCGUAAGCCAUAUUACAACAUCCUUUGCAAAUGGAGUCAGUGGCUUUUUACCCCUCCUUGAAAUGCACUUCAUUAAUUCACCAACUACUUACUGAGUACCUCCUAGGUUCCUCCACAGAUCAGCCUUUAUAGGAGAGCCUACUCUUCUCCCAUAGCACCUCUUCAUGGCACAGGCAGGCCUUCCACCCUGGUGAGGCUAGGAUGCUCUUGAAUGGAAUAGACACUUGGCUCUUACCCCAACCCCAAGAGAGAAAUCUCUGAGACCUCCCCUUGCAAAGUGAGAGUCAGGUAAGUUUGCCCAGCUUACCCUAGCACAAAGCUCUUAACAUUCAGAAUA